rnacentral:rRNA from 1 species
GACAGAGGUGCCGAGCGUUAGGCGGAAUCACUGGGCUUAAAGCGUGUGUAGGCGGAUAUCUAAGUACCUUGUGAAAUCCCACGGCUCAACCGUGGAACUGCUUGGUAUACUGGGUGUCUUGAGCCAUCUAGGGGCUACCGGAACAAAUGGUGGAGCGGUGAAAUGCGUAGAUAUCAUUUGGAACGCCAAUGGUGAAAACAGGUAGCUGGGGAUGUGCUGACGCUGAGACACGAAAGCCAGGGGAGCAAACGGG